rnacentral:rRNA from 1 species
UACGUAGGGUGCAAGCGUUAAUCGGAAUUACUGGGCGUAAAGCGUGCGCAGGCGGUUUUGUAAGUCUGUCGUGAAAUCCCCGGGCUCAACCUGGGAAUGGCGAUGGAGACUGCAAGGCUAGAAUCUGGCAGAGGGGGGUAGAAUUCCACGUGUAGCAGUGAAAUGCGUAGAGAUGUGGAGGAACACCGAUGGCGAAGGCAGCCCCCUGGGUCAAGAUUGACGCUCAUGCACGAAAGCGUCGGGAGCAAACAGG